UUCCAAAAACUUAGAGAUCCUGUGUAUCAGAGUUUCUCCACCUCAGCACUAUUGACGUUUAGGGUAGAUAGUCUUUUGCUGUGGGGCUGUCCUGUGCAUUGUAGGAUGUUUAGCAGCAUCCCUGGCCUCUCCCCCUUAGGGUAACACUCUCUCCAGCAGGGACGACCAACAAUGUUUCCCAAAACUGCUAAAUGUCUCCUGAUGGGGAUGGGGGAGGUCGUCCCUGGUUAGAACCACUGCUGUGUAUGAAGGCAUUUUGUAAAAUCAUAAAGCAUUGCCCAAUUAUUGAUUAUUAUUAACAUGUGAUGGUUUUAAAGUAACCACUUCCCAAUCUUGACUGGUUAUAUUAGUAUAUACGGAAGAGCAGUGGCAUCAAAAAUGUAAAAGCCACUGAGAUUCUCUCUGGGCAUGUCUCAUGGUUGUUGUGUGGCAGGCUGAAGUCCUGGUUGUUUUGUGUUUCUACAGUUUGAGCACUUGGUGACUGUUAACAGAGUAGACAGUCAAGGGGUGCCCAAGCAUGGGAGCAGCAUGGGAGAGCCAGUGACCAAAUGCACAGGGCUCUCCUCCAUCUUUGGCUGAGUAGCCCCCAGCCUGUGUCCCCUUCAAGCACUGGGACCGUUUCUUCAUCUUUCUAUGCUCACCUUCUGUCUUAGUUCAUCUGAGCUGCUUUAACAAAAAUGCCACAGACUGGGGACCUUAAACAACAGACGUUUGUUUCUCACCUAUUGGAGGCUGGAAGUCCAAGACCCAGGUGCCAGCAGAUCCAGAGUCUGAUGCGUAUAUUUACUUGCCCACUCGGCUGACAGCAGUGAGAAGGGGAAGGUUCUGGGCCAGAAUGUUCCUGCUGAGAAGACAGGUUCAGACCGCAGCCUUCGUUCCACUGCACGUAUGCCAUCUGUUUGAUGUUGCUGUGGUCCCCAUCUUAGGCACGAUUAUCUUUUGAGAAUGGAACUGUUGAACUGUUGAAUGGAACUUGAUCUCCUGAAGCAAUAAACUGACUGUCACAAGGAAGGGGACGGGUCGAUGCCCAUGAGACUAAUUCAGACUGUCUAACCACGGUUCUGCAUGUGCAUAUGAGUUCAUAUUCGUGUCCACGUCAGGGACAAACAAGCCCUAAGUGCCCAUAGUAUAUUCAAAGCCGAGGCAGCAAAGAAACCCCUGUAUAAAUGCCCUUUUGUUAGUCUAUAGGAGGGACCCUUGUUAAUCUCCCUCUCAGAUAGAGUCUUUUUUUUAAAGAUUUUAUUUUUUCCUUUUUCUCCCCAAAGCCCCCCAGUACAUAGCUGUAUAUUCUUCGUUGUGGGUCCUUCGAGUUGUGGCAUGUGGGACGCUGCCUCAGCAUGGUUUGAUGAGCAGAGCCAUGUCCGCGCCCAGGAUUCGAACCAACGAAACACUGGGCCACCUGGAGGGGAGCGCGCAAACUUAACCACUCGGCCACGGGGCCAGCCCCUGAAGUCUUUUUAUUAUAAUUAACAGAAAAGAAGCCCCAUAGAUAUGGCAUUGUUAACCCACUUUUCAGCAGCGUAUCUCAGGACCACUCCAUUGGGUUGGUGGUAGAGGGGCAGAAGGACGUUCAAGGAAGGAAUGAGGCAGAUGUGGUCGUAUUUACGUCGUGAUGAUAACCCUGGAUGAACACGUGCAUCUCUAUUGUCAGUGCUAUAAAACAUACUGUCAAUAAAUCAAUGCAAACGCACCUUCUGGCUCCUGUUUCCACAGGAUGAUCUGAUCACGCCUUAGCAGCCUUACACUUACUGCACCCUG
rnacentral:lncRNA from 1 species